CCCUUAGAUGUUCUGGGCCGCACGCGCGCUACACUGAUGCAUUCAACGAGUCUAAAACCUGGUCUGAUAGGGCUGGGUAAUCUUUUGAAUGUGCAUCGUGAUUGGGAUAGAUGAUUGCAAUUCUUCAUCUUCAACGAGGAAUGCCUAGUAAACGCAAGUCAUCAGCUUGCAUUGAUUACGUCCCUGCCCUUUGUACACACCGCCCGUCGCUCCUACCGAUUGAAUGUUCCAAUGAAUACCAUGGACUGAGAGUAUGAAUGGGUUCGCCUAUUUCUGCUUCUCGGGAAGUGGAGUAAAUCUUAACAUUUAGAGGAAGGAGAAGUCGUAACA
rnacentral:rRNA from 1 species